UACGUAGGGGGCAAGCGUUGUCCGGAGUUACUGGGCGUAAAGCGCAACGCAGGCGGUCUCUUUAAGUUUGGAGUGACAGUUGGUGGCUUAACUGCCAAAGUGCUUCGAAAACUGAGAGACUUGAGGGCUUCAGAGGGACACGGAAUUCCGGGUGGAGUGGUGGAAAUGCGUAGAGAUCCGGAGGAACACCGAAGGCGAAGGCAGGUGUCCUGGGGAGUACCUGACGCUCGAGGUGCGAAAGCCAGGGGAGCGAACGGG
rnacentral:rRNA from 1 species